UGGUUUAGGCAAAGCCCUGUCUGUGCAAGAUGCUUUUCGCGCUAAAUACUUAACGUCACUUGUCCGUGCGUGUCUAGUUGGCUACUUUGACGCAUGUGGGAGUGGCAUAGGUUAGUUGUCACGACCAGCGAGAAAGGUUGAUAUGGAGCAUGCUAAAUCUCGAACAUCCGGGGAAUCACCUGUUGUUGUUUUUUAAACGCCAAACAGAGUUUCUGCUUGCUAAAAAGAAAACGCGACAGAGCUGGUAAUACAGCGAGAAUUAAGAUUGGCUUGACUUUUCGGAGAUGGCGAGAACUGAUGGAUUCGAAAUGUGUUUUUAUUACUCAACAGCACCCCUUGCCCUGCGAGAAUCUCUUCAACUUUUUGGAGAGGUUUGGGGACAUCUUCACUGAAGAGAUCGCAAGGCAUGUGAUGUGGCAGGUCGUUGAGGCUGCUAACAACUGCUGUAGCUGCGGAGUUCUCCAUAGAGAUAUCAAAACAGGAGAUCUUAUUAGUGAACACAGACACCCUGGAUGUGACACUAAUCGAUUUUUAUGUUCUACAAAAAACUGUAGAACUUAACACCGGCACAAUGGUGUACACUAGUUCCUAGAGCUCCCUAUCAUGGGAACCCUAGAGCGUUCCAGAGCUUUGUGUCUGAGACACUAGUAGCAGAGCUUCCUCAUGGUUCAAGUCAACUGACCAGGUCCCAGAGCUCUCUGGAUGCCCUGGCUCCCUGCCACAGACACUUUGAUGCUAGAGCUCCACAGAUCUCACGCUCAUAGCUGCCACAGAGGUCUUUGCCAAAGCCACCCCUGCUCCCAAGUUUCUGUCACAGCUGUCCAGGUCCUAAGCAUGGACGACAGGGAGCUUAAGUUCCUGUCAUGGCCCCGCCCCCAGUUCCAGAGCCCUCAUCUCAGCAUCUCCAGCCCCAGAUCUUCUUGUGUUGGCUGCUCCAGCCACCUCAGAGGUUCCUACUAUGGCCACCCCAGAUGCUCCUGCCAAUUGUGUUCCAGUGGUUCUUGUCAAGGCAGUUUCUUGUCACUGUUCAGGGCACCAGAGGUUCCCUUCAUGGCUGCCCGAGAUGUUAUCUCAUGGCCAACCUGCUACCGUUCCAGAGCUCCCCGUCAUGACAGCUCUAAACCAAGAGCUUCUUUUCUUGGCAGUGCCUGUCGCAGCCAACAAGGUAGAAGAGGUUUGUGUCAUGAAUGCCUCAAAGGUUCCUGUUUCUAUCCCAGAAUGAAUCCAGAAGGAAGCAUCUCCACAAAGUCAAAAAUAAAUCUUGGCAUUAUACGUUUUGUUUGUGUCAGUUUUCAGUGUAAUGUCCAGGAGAAGUUCUAAAACAUAACACAUGACUUAUAUUAAAGGACACUUUAUUCAUAAAUGGUUACACAAUGAUGCAAACUAUUAUUAAUUUGUCCCAGUUAUGUGUCAAAAAUAAUAGUAGCCAAUCAAUCAUUUAACAUGUUAUUACUCUCUAAAUUAUGUGCAGGUAGGCACAAACAAAUUUUCUUUCUUUACUAGUGUUCAGUGACAAUAUCAUUCUACACCCACUAAAGACUUUUAUCAGAAAUCUGUGCACAAUUACUUUUCUGUUUGUCACAUCAAAGGGUGCUGUGUCAUACCAGUGGACAGUCUCCUUGGACAGAAAACGGGGGAGCUCAAGUAACAUCUGGGAGUCAGUAAGGUCUAGUGAAGUCCUAAAUAUGUUGACAGACUGAAGCCAGUUGUACGGACUCCUUCGCCGUCUAAUACUAGAGGUUCAAGACUUGAUUGAAGGAGGACAGAGGUUAAGACCCCAGACAUAGCUGACAAAUCAGUCAAGGUUGGUUGAGCCACCGCAGGUGCACAUAAGGCACAUUAGCAAAAACUGACCUUGAAUCACCCCAUGGAGACUGUCCUCGAACACAUGGUGUAGAAGCGGCCAAAGGGUAAGAUUGCGCACGUGACUCAACAGGAAUGGUACCUUCAUCUGGCAUCAUGAUUGACUGACAAUGCAGUCAAUCAUACUCUUUUGCAGGUCCAGCAAGUCACGAAAACACUGCUGUAGUACAGCGACCUCGUCCUGCAGAAGCUGAACCUGAGAUUGUAAAUCUCCAUCCCCAAUCUGCAAUGUACUCUGUUUUGGCAAAUAGUCAGAACGUGUCAAGUCAAGUAGUUCAUGAUUUGCGGCUAUCAUGUGUGAGUUAAAACAGCUAAUUACAAAAAUAUCAACAAACGCAUAACAAAAUAUUAUAUGCAGAUGCACAAAAUUUACAAUGAAUUAAUCAGGAAAUAAGCAGAAUAAACAAUUCACCAAACCUGUUUGUUCCCUGAAGAGAUAUGCAUGUGCUCGCAUACUGUUUGUGUGUUAAAGCGCUAUAAACAAUUUAUCUCAGAGAAACACACAAAAUACAAUACAAAUUGAAAUAAAGCCCAUCAAUAGUUAACUUUACAUGUCAGGCCAUGUAAAGUGAACAAAAAACGUGACCGCAUCCUAUACAGUCUUGUAUCAUUACUUCAGAAAUGUCAAAUAUGGCAAAAAUGCAAAAUAAAUGUUUGUUUUUUUCCUCAAAAGUUGUUAAAUCUUCCAAGUGUCCCUUUCUUUCUUUCUUUCUUUCUUGCUAUCUGACUAUUCACACUGUAAUUUUAUUAAAAUCUCUGAACAAUUGAUGUUGUUAUUGCUUUAUAUUUCUUAUAAUGGUGUAUACUGGGUAUACUGCUGUUAAUUAUUGUAAUCUUUUCCACAUUGGACUUAUUACAGACAUUUAAAUUGUUGUUUAUAUUUAUUCUAUUUUUAUUUUAUUAAAAUGUAUUGCUUAGUAUUAGUAUAAUUCUUAACAUUAUUCUUAUUAUUGUAUCUAGUAAGGAACCUUACAAUUACAAGUGUAAUUUCGUUGGACAGGUACAAUGAGAGUUGUAUGCAUACAAUGACAAUAAAGAAAUUCAAUUUAGUGAGGUAAGCUCUUUUUGAAUUAUCAACAAAAUUAGUUUUAAUAGACAUUUCAUCUAAGAACAAGGUUUACAACAUAUUGUAACACUGAAGCCUGGUUCACUGCUUUAAAUGCACAUUAGUCCACAUAAUUAACAAUAUUUAUUUAGGCUAAACAAACUUAACAUUAAAUUCUUACUAAAGAAUCAAAGUUAGAAAAUACAUUAAAAAAUGUAAAAAAAAAAAAAAAAACAUUUAAUCAGUAUCACAAGUUUUCAUUCACAUAUUCUUUCACAAACAGUGUGCAGUGCAGCUUUGUACUUUUAGGGUUUGUUAGUAGACCUAUAAUGCGAUGUGCAGACACAUUGAAGCGGAUUUAAUAGUUUUUCAUUCACUUCAUUUUAGCCCUAUAUUGCACACAUC